rnacentral:rRNA from 1 species
AUUGAACGCUGGCGGCAGGCCUAACACAUGCAAGUCGAGCGGAUGAAGGGAGCUUGCUCCUGGAUUCAGCGGCGGACGGGUGAGUAAUGCCUAGGAAUCUGCCUGGUAGUGGGGGAUAACGUCCGGAGACGGGCGCUAAUACCGCAUACGUCCUGAGGGAGAAAGUGGGGGAUCUUCGGACCUCACGCUAUCAGAUGAGCCUAGGUCGGAUUAGCUAGUUGGUGGGGUAAAGGCCUACCAAGGCGACGAUCCGUAACUGGUCUGAGAGGAUGAUCAGUCACACUGGAACUGAGACACGGUCCAGACUCCUACGGGAGGCAGCAGUGGGGAAUAUUGGACAAUGGGCGAAAGCCUGAUCCAGCCAUGCCGCGUGUGUGAAGAAGGCCUUCGGAUUGUAAAGCACUUUAAGUUGGGAGGAAGGGCAGUAAGUUAAUACCUUGCUGUUUUGACGUUACCAACAGAAUAAGCACCGGCUAACUUCGUG